rnacentral:misc_RNA from 1 species
CCGAGUUCUCGAACUCCCAAACCCCUGUGAACAUACCUGUCGUUGCUUCGGCGGACCGCGGGGCAGUCCGCCGGGGGCCACCCAAAAACCCAUUGUAUCGUAUCGGUUACAGUAUACUCUGAGUGGCACAAGCAAGAAAAUAAAUCA